rnacentral:rRNA from 1 species
UAAGGAAUAUUGGUCAAUGGACGGAAGUCUGAACCAGCCAUGCCGCGUGCAGGAAGACGGCCCUACGGGUUGUAAACUGCUUUUGUACCGGAAUAAACCUUGAUUCGUGAAUCAAGCUGAAUGUACGGUAAGAAUAAGGAUCGGCUAACUCCGUGCCAGCAGCCGCGGUAAUACGGAGGAUCCGAGCGUUAUCCGGAUUUAUUGGGUUUAAAGGGUGCGUAGGCGGCCUGUUAAGUCAGGGGUGAAAGACGGUAGCUCAACUAUCGCAGUGCCCUUGAUACUGAUGGGCUUGAAUGUACUAGAGGUAGGCGGAAUGUGACAAGUAGCGGUGAAAUGCAUAGAUAUGUCACAGAACACCAAUUGCGAAGGCAGCUUACUAUGGUAUUAUUGACGCUGAGGC